ACCUGGCUGGCUCAGUUGGUAGAGCAUGUGACUCUGGAUCUCAGGGUCAUGAGUUCGAACCCCACGCUGGGUG